rnacentral:rRNA from 1 species
CCUACGGGAGGCAGCAGUGGGGAAUAUUGCGCAAUGGGCGAAAGCCUGACGCAGCGACGCCGCGUGAGGGAUGAAGGUCUUCGGAUCGUAAACCUCUGUCAGCAGGGAAGAACGGUCACUGUGCUAAUCAGCAGUGAAUUGACGGUACCUGCAAAGGAAGCACCGGCUCACUCCGUGCCAGCAGCCGCGGUAAUACGGAGGGUGCGAGCGUUAAUCGGAAUUACUGGGCGUAAAGCGCUCGUAGGCGGUAUGUCAAGUCAAGGGUGAAAUCCCCGCGCUCAACGUGGGAACUGCCUUUGAAACUGGCAAACUAGAGUGUGGGAGAGGAUAGUGGAAUUCCAGGUGUAGCGGUGAAAUGCGUAGAUAUCAGGAGGAACAUCAGUGGCGAAGGCGACUAUCUGGCACAUAACUGACGCUCAGGCACGAAAGCGUGGGUAUCGAACAGGAUUAGAUACCCCUGUAGUC